ensembl:lncRNA
AAGAUAUGUGAUAUCUAUCCUGUGAAGCGUUCUUGUUGUACAUGUUGUUGUGAUGAUUGUUGUAUGAUUCGAGUCAUUGGUUUCAAUAAUAAAAAAAUAAAAAACGUUUUCAUACACACCAACUUUUUAAGAUAGUUUAGAAUUAGCCUACUGUAAUUAACAUAUUCCACGUAACCAGAGUAAAAUAAUAACAUCACCAAUUUAUAAUUCACUAAAUUGGUUAUUUAUAUCACUCUGGUUAUAAGAGCCACAUCCAAUCUGAACAUGCAUAUUAAUUAUUAAAAUAAAUGCAAUUAAUAUUAAGAACUUACUUUCAGAAACAGCAUAAUCACGCCACGGUGGGCCAGCAUAAAAACCCGGUCCGGAACUACCACAUAAGGUGGAGUCUCUCCUGGUUUUUGAAAACCUUGAUUAUGCCAUAAUCCGAGCUAUCAAUAAUGUUUAAUAUAUAUUUGGGAGUCUAAAUGGCCAAAUGACCAGCCAAAUAACAGCAGUAAGUGGCACUUUUUCCUCCCAUCGUCCGGUUAUCUGUUUGGACAAGUGAAGUGCAGCCUGCAUACUAUAUGCCGGCUUUUCCCGCAUACCCAGAGCCAGCGACCGUCUCUGCUGCUGCAGUCUCUUCACGCAUGGCCUGGUAAGUGGUAAGUUAAUUAACGUUACUUUUCUUCAAUUUCAACCACAACGAAAGUUAUUCUUUGAGUAUAUGUUAAAUUUGACCGUUUUUUAACAUAAAUUUAUGCUUUGCAUUACACUGUUGUAGCUGCAGUUGCACAGUGUUAGCAUCAAUCAAUUAGCCUAAUUAGCUAAAGUUAAUGACAUGCAUUGGUGAGAAAAUGAGUAACGUAAAUGUUAAGCUAAAGUUACAUUAUUUCUAUGGGCAGCGUAAUACCAUUUAUACAUCCUAUUUUAUUCAAGUAUGGGUAUUUUUUGGUACUUGUCUUGCUGACUUUUUUGUCUUUAUUAUCUAUGUAGUUAGAUCUUUGCUAAUUGAGGAGCACAUGUAUGGCCGAAGAGCAUGUCGAAAAGGAGAACCAGACUUAGUCCUCAGGCUGAGGCUAUUCAGUUUAUUUUAUCUGGACGUGAAAAACCUUGUUUUAAGGUCAAGUGUAUCAGUGACUUUAAAGGACGUGGUGUAUUUACCUGCACACCAAUUGAAAAGGGAUCGUUUGUCGCCGAGUACCGUGGGGAGCUAAUAUCACGAUAUGAACUGGACAAGAGGCAGAAGAAGUACACAGAAAAACAAAAUGCUUUCUUGUUUGAUUUUGAAUGGAACAAUAGUGCAUGGUGGUAAGUCAUGGCCUAUACAAGAUCAGUUAUUCUCUAAAGCCUUGUGUUGUUUUGUGGAAAAACCUUUUGUUUCCUCCUACUUUAGCAUAGAUGCGUCCCGUGAAGAUGGCUCGCUAGGAAGGCUGGUGAAUGAUUGCCACAAGUCACCAAAUUGUAAAAUGAGAAGGUUGACAGUCCAGGGUAAACCUCAUCUUUGCUUAUUUGCAAUUGAAAACAUUGAAGCAGAGACUGAAAUAACCUACGAUUAUGGAGAUUCUCAAUGGCCAUGGCGUAAUCUGGUAAGUAAGACCUCUUGAUAGAUCAUACGGUAUAGGAUCUGUUAAAAUACAAUUAGUUACAUCUCCCUUCAGGAGUAUAUGCUCCCCCUCAAUAUCUCCUUGUGGAAUUACUUUACUGAUGAAAUUGUAUAGACUAUGUUCAGUUAAUUAUGCACCAUGAGGUGUGCUUGCAUGCAAUGAAGGAAAGAUUCUUUAAAAAAAAAAAAAUACUAAUUGUUUGAUUAAAAGAAGUGAAGGUAGAAAACCUGGCUUUGUCUAAUAUGCAUUGAUACUUUUUUAAUUAAAACUUGUUGUAUUAUAGUACAAUAUAUUUCUGACUGAUAAUUGUUGUU